rnacentral:rRNA from 1 species
UACGUAGGGGGCGAGCGUUGUCCGGAAUCAUUGGGCGUAAAGCGCGUGUAGGCGGUUCGGUAAGUCUGCUGUGAAAGUCCAGGGCUCAACCCUGGGAUGCCGGUGGAUACUGCUGAACUAGAGUGCGGAAGAGGCGAGUGGAAUUCCCGGUGUAGCGGUGAAAUGCGCAGAUAUCGGGAGGAACACCGGUGGCGAAGGCGGUUCUCUGGGCCUUACCUGACGCUGAGGAGCGAAAGCGUGGGGAGCGAACAGG